rnacentral:rRNA from 1 species
AUGAGCCACUUGAGGAAGAAGAAGCUGAGGACGUUGAUGGGCAGAUUGAGCGCCUGUAUGAUGCCGGCCUUCAUCAUGAUGCGCAGCCCGACGAAGCUGAAUACGGUGCCGAGGACCACCGAGAUGGCCAUCGACCGCAGCGUCACCUGGCCCCAUGUCCCCGGCAGCGGCGGCUGGCUCUCGAAGACCCGCUCCACCGACGACGCCACGCUCACAUCUCCGAUAGUCGCGUCCAUGGGCGAGGGGCCGGAGCUCUGGCGACUUCGGUUGGGGGCUCUGGGUGUGGACGGAGGAGUGGUGGUGUGA